rnacentral:rRNA from 1 species
AGUUGGUGGUUUGAACUGUCUGGUUAAUUCCGAUAACGAACGAGACCUCAGCCUACUAAUUAGCCAGUGUUAUCGCUUGCGAUAGCAUCUGCGUUUUACUUCUUAGAGGGACUAUGCGUGUGUAGCGCAUGGAAGUUUGAGGCAAUAACAGGU